rnacentral:snRNA from 1 species
AUACUUACCUGGCAGGGGAGAUACCAUGAUCACGAAGGUGGUUUUCCCAGGGCGAGGCUUAUCCAUUGCACUCCGGAUGUGCUGACCCCUGCGAUUUCCCCAAAUGUGGGAAACUCGACUGCAUAGUUUGUGGUAGUGGGGGACUGCGUUCGCGCUUUCCCCUG